rnacentral:rRNA from 1 species
UACGUAGGGGGCAAGCGUUGUCCGGAUUUAUUGGGCGUAAAGCGCUCGCAGGCGGCUCGAUGCGUCGUGCGUGAAACACCCCGGCUCAACUGGGGAGGGUCGUGCGAUACGGUCGGGCUGGAGGCCAGUAGGGGGAUGCGGAAUUCCGGGUGUAGUGGUGGAAUGCGUAGAGAUCGGGAAGAACAUCGGUGGCGAAAGCGCUCUACUGGACCGCAACUGACACUCAGGGACGAAAGCUAGGGGAGCGAAUGGG